rnacentral:rRNA from 1 species
CCAGCAGCUGCGGUAAUUCCAGCUCUAAUAGCGUAUAUUAAAGUUGUUGCAGUUAAAAAGCUCGUAGUCGGAAUUCGGGUUCGGGCAGGCUUCUGACCUCUGGGAAGAUGGCAGGCUCGGAUCUUUCUGCCUUGUUUCUAUUUCGCACUUAACUGUUCGGAGUAGGGGUUAGGCCGUUUACUUUGAAAAAAUUAGAGUGUUCAAAGCAGGCCUACGCUUGAAUACAUUAGCAUGGAAUAAUGGAAUAGGACUUUGGUGCUAUUUUGUUGGUUUAUGGGACCGAAGUAAUGAUUAACAGGGACAGUUGGGGCCGUUUAUAUUUCGUUGUCAGAGGUGAAAUUCUUGGAUUUACGAAAGAUAAACUUCUGCGAAAGCAUUCGGCAAGGAUGUUUUCAU